rnacentral:rRNA from 2 species
CCGUCGCUACUACCGAUUGAAUGGUUUAGCAAGGUCAUCGGAUUGGGCAACUAUGGCUGCUUGUCAGUCUUGUUUGCACUGAAAAGACGACCGAGCUUGAUCAUUUAGAGGAAGUAAAAGUCGUAACAAGGUUUCCGUAGGUGAACCUUCGGAAGGAUCAU